GCGUUGUCCGGAGUUACUGGGCGUAAAGGGUCCGCAGGCGGUUGCGUGCGUUUGUGGUGACAGCGGUCGGCUUAACUGACCGAGGGCCACGAAGACGGCGCAGCUGGAGGGCCAGAGAGGGACAUGGAACUCCGGGUGGAGUGGUGAAAUGCGUAGAGAUCCGGAAGAACACCGAAGGCGAAGGCAAUGUCCUGGCUGGUACCUGACGCUCGGGGACGAAAGCGAG
rnacentral:rRNA from 1 species